UUUAGCAUUCAAUAAGCGGAGGAAAAGAAACCAACAGGGAUUGCCCUAGUAACGGCGAGUGAAGCGGCAACAGCUCAAAUUUGAAAUCUGGCUCUUUUAGAGUCCGAGUUGUAAUUUGCAGAGGGCGCUUUGGCUUUGGCAGCGGUCCAAGUUCCUUGGAACAGGACGUCACAGAGGGUGAGAAUCCCGUACGUGGUCGCUAGCUAUUGCCGUGUAAAGCCCCUUCGACGAGUCGAGUUGUUUGGGAAUGCAGCUCUAAAUGGGAGGUAAAUUUCUUCUAAAGCUAAAUAUUGGCCAGAGACCGAUAGCGCACAAGUAGAGUGAUCGAAAGAUGAAAAGCACUUUGGAAAGAGAGUCAAACAGCACGUGAAAUUGUUGAAAGGGAAGCGCUUGCAGCCAGACUUGCUUGCAGUUGCUCAUCCGGGCUUUUGCCCGGUGCACUCUUCUGUAGGCAGGCCAGCAUCAGUUUGGGCGGUGGGAUAAAGGUCUCUGACACGUUCCUUUCUUCGGGUUGGCCAUAUAGGGGAGACGUCAUACCACCAGCCUGGACUGAGGUCCGCGCAUCUGCUAGGAUGCUGGCGUAAUGGCUGUAAGCGGCCCGUCUUGAAACACGGACCAAGGAGUCUAACAUCUAUGCGAGUGUUUGGGUGUCAAGCCCGAGCGCGUAAUGAAAGUGAACGGAGGUGGGAACCCGCAAGGGUGCACCAUCGACCGAUCCUGAAGUUUACGGAAGGAUUUGAGUAAGAGCAUGGCUGUUGGGACCCGAAAGAUGGUGAACUAUGCUUGAAUAGGGUGAAGCCAGAGGAAACUCUGGUGGAGGCUCGCAGCGGUUCUGACGUGCAAAUCGAUCGUCAAAUUUGGGCAUAGGGGCGAAAGACUAAUCGAACUAUCUAGUAG
rnacentral:rRNA from 1 species